GGGGGAGCGGUGGUGGACGUUGAGGACGAAGACAGUGAUGAUGAUGGAGAGCGUGACGAAGAUCAUGGUGAAGAGGAGGUCCAGGAGCCAAACUUCAUCUUACAGUUCUGCUGGUCGAAGGGGAAGAAGGUCACAUCGAUGCUGCACGAGCUCUUGUAGAUGGCGGGCGGCACCCACUUCACCUUCCCGUUGGAGAAGAGGUGGGCCUUCGUCAUGUGGGUCACAGCGAACUCCCCGUCAGCGCUGCAGGGAUGGAGAGAUGAGGAGGUCAGAGGGGGAUGAAGCAUAUCGCCCAAGAAAUAGGGUCAGGAGCUCCCUCUGCCCUCAGGACUGCACAAUGUCAGGAAUCCAGAUCAUCUCAGAGGGCACCCGGAUAGAGGUGACAUUGUCGAAUUCUGCCGGGUCCCAGCGCAGCUUGUAG